rnacentral:rRNA from 1 species
AUUAGCUAGUUGGUGGGGUAAAAGCUCACCAAGGCGACGAUCCGUAGCGGGUCUGAGAGGAUGAUCCGCCACACUGGGACUGAGACACGGCCCAGACUUCUACGGGAGGCAGCAGUGGGGAAUUUUGGACAAUGGGCGCAAGCCUGAUCCAGCCAUGCCGCGUGAGUGAAGAAGGCCUUCGGGUUGUAAAGCUCUUUCGGCGGGGAAGAAAUUGCACUCUCUAAUACAGGGUGUAGAUGACGGUACCCGCAUAAGAAGCACCGGCUAACUACGUGCCAGCAGCCGCGGUAAUACGUAGGGUGCGAGCGUUAAUCGGAAUUACUGGGCGUAAAGCGUGCGCAGGUGGUUGUGUAAGUCAGAUGUGAAAUCCCCGGGCUCAACCUGGGAACUGCAUUUGAGACUGCAUGGCUAGAGGAUGGCAGAGGGGGGUAGAAUUCCACGUGUAGCAGUGAAAUGCGUAGAGAUGUGGAGGAAUACCGAUGGCGAAGGCAGCCCCCUGGGCUAUUUCUGACACUCAUGCACGAAAGCGUGGGGAGCAAACAGGAUUAGAUACCCUGGUAGUCCACGCCCU